UACGGGGGGAGCAAGCGUUGUUCGGAUUUACUGGGCGUAAAGGGCGCGUAGGCGGCCACUGCAAGUCAGUUGUGAAAUCUCCGAGCUUAACCCGGAAAGGUCAACUGAUACUGCAGGGCUAGAGUGCAGAAGGGGCAACUGGAAUUCUCGGUGUAGCGGUGAAAUGCGUAGAUAUCGAGAGGAACACCUGCGGCGAAGGCGGGUUGCUGGGCUGACACUGACGCUGAUGUGCGAAAGCUAGGGGAGCGAACGGG
rnacentral:rRNA from 1 species